rnacentral:lncRNA from 1 species
CAAGGCCUCUCCAUUCUCCAGUGGACAAGUGGGUGGUUCCUUCAGUGAAGAACCCCACUAUGUCUGCAGCUUCUCUAUCACGCCAAUUCUCAAUGUCCUCCUCUGGUCAAUCUCAGCUUCCAGAGGCCUCAGGCUGACCUCGAGGGCCUCCAUCUCCUUUUGGAGAUGUAUUGUAAGCUGGAUAUCAGUUCAGGAUAACUGGUCUGCAGUAUCUGGAAGCACUUGCAAAUCAAAUAUUGGAGAAAGGCAAGAAAUGUAAGGGACAUCAUGGGAAAUGUUUAGGACUUCCUUUGUUUCCAGCUUUUUUGUGGGCCUAUGCCUAACUAAGAGAAUAGUCCCUAAGAUCUCUUUGACUGAACUUAGAUAACCAGGUGACAUUUUAUCUUAAUUGAUUAAUUGAUUGAUUUACUUCUGGAAAUGCUAUCCAUGAUGAAAUAAGUAAUUGAAUUUCCCUCAUGUUUGAUGUCCAGUAAAUGAUUGAGGGUGAUUCUAUUGCCUAGAACUAUUUCAAUUGAUUAACGUAUGUUGGUCCAUUAGACCUCUAAUAGUUGUGCUGUUUUAUUUGCUAUGUGGGCCUUAGUCAGGGAUAAAUUGCAGAAUAUCCAACUUAAUUUAACUAAGGUAGACUUUUGUACAAACCAGUGAACUCCAAUAUUUCUGACACCUUCUAAUAAAUGAACACCACUUUAACUUGAUAUUAUUAUGCAAGCAGCCUCUUCCAGAUUGGUUAACAUAUUCAUGGGCCAGAAGGGUGGUUCAUCCCAACUUUAAGAGGAGAGAAGCUCUUGUACUCCGCAACUUCUGGACCUAGACAUAUCUAUGUACUUCUUCAUUUGGCUGCUCACGUGUUUUUAUUUUAUAAUAUCUUUUAAAAUAAACUGGUAAGUUGCUUCCCUGAGUUCUGAG